rnacentral:rRNA from 1 species
AUUGAACGCUGGCGGCAGGCCUAACACAUGCAAGUCGAACGGUAACAGGAAGCAGCUUGCUGCUUCGCUGACGAGUGGCGGACGGGUGAGUAAUAUCUGGGAAACUGCCUGAUGGAGGGGGAUAACUACUGGAAACGGUAGCUAAUACCGCAUAACGUCGCAAGACCAAAGAGGGGGACCUUAGGGCCUCUUGCCUUCUGAUUUGCCCAGAUGGGAUUAGCUUGUAGGUGGGGUAACGGCUCACCUAGGCGACGAUCCCUAGCUGGUCUGAGAGGAUGACCAUCCACACUGGAACUGAGACACGGUCCAGAGGCCUACGGGAGGCAGCAGUGGGGAAUAUUGCACAAUGGGCGCAAGCCUGAGGCAGCCAUGCCGCGUGUAUGGAGAAGGCCUUCGGGUUGGAAAGUACUGUCUGCGGUGAGGAAGGGAGUAAUGUUAAUACCUUUGCGCAUUGACGUUACCCGCAGAAGAAGCCCGGGCUAACUCCGUG